rnacentral:lncRNA from 1 species
CUCUGGAAGGGCGGGGGGCUGGGGGUACGUUCACCCCUCCCCCCUCCGGCCCCCCAACACGCCCCCAGGCCUCCCUUGCCCCUUACCCUAGCCCGGGGCCGGGCCCGGGCCCCGCGGCGCGCUCCGAGACGCGACCAGCACGGCGGCGCCCCCACCCCCAGCUCCUCCCGGGGCGGGGAAGCAGGGGCCGCGGGCGGGGAGGGGGCCGCAGGAGCGCGGGGCCCGGGCGCGGCGCCCCCCACCCUCGCCACCCGGAGCGGCUGCAGCGCGAGCGCUCCCGCCGGGGACCGGGCGGCCGGGCGUGGGUCGGGAGCUUGGCUCUCCGGGACAGCCCGCCUCCCCGGCGGGGCGCGCGGGGGGCGGGGGGCCGCGGCAGGGAAACCCGAUCCACAACAUCGGCCACGGUCCAAGCCCGCCCCAAACUUUCCGUCGGGGGUGGGGGAGCCGGGGGCAGUUCGGGGGCCCGGAGAGGAUCCCGGCCGCCGGCCCGACAGCACGGGGUCCCCUCUCCCCUUCGCCCCGCUGUCCCUGGCCAGUCCGCGCCUCCGGACGCUACGGCUGCGGGCGCUGCCUCCCGGCUCCCGACCCCCGCCAGGCAGCUCGCGGGGGGCGCAGGAGGGAUCCCGGGCGGACUGCCGUCCCCGCCGCCACCCGCGCCUGCGCCCCCGGACCCUGUCCUCCGCGCGGGCGGCCGCCCCUGCCCGAGUCGGGGACAAAGCGGCGGCCCCGGAGCCCCGGCGCUCCCGCCCCGCGCAAGCCCGGCCUCACUCACCUCUUCUGCGCGGCUUGAAUCCCUGGGCGCCGCCCUCGCGUUCGGCUCGGAUCGCGGUCCGCCCCCACGCGCGCCGCCGCCCGCCCGCCCGCCCGCGCGCGCCCGCCCGCCCUCCUUCGCUGUCCCCUCCGCCCCCGCCCCUCGGUCCCGGCUCGGCUCGGCGCCCCUGGGCUCGGGCUCCCCGCGCCACCGCGCCACCGCGCCACCGCGCCGGGCGCCGGCUCUUUCUCCGGCGCUGCCGCCGCUCUCCGCCCCCUGCCCCUGACGUCAGGCGCGGGGGGGCGUCAGCCGAGGCCGGGGGCGGGACGCAAAGGCCAGCGCCGGAGGGGGCUGCGACCCGCCGCGACCCGCGGGGCCCCCGGCUCCCCUCCCGCGCGCUCCGACCCCCGCCCCUGCCCGCGCCCCGCCGCCCCGCCGCCCCGCCGCCCCGCGCCUCGGAGUCGCCGUCUGCGCCACAGCGCGCGGAGGUGGGGCGGGGGAGGGACCCCGGGCACUGCCUUGGGGGUUCGGACUCACCCGGCCCUUCCGAGGAGUCCAGCGCCCCCGCAAGGCCACCCGCGGGCCGGGCGCCUGGGCUCGGGAAUGGGGCCGAGGAGCGCCCACGCUGCGGUCACAGGAACCAACGCGGGCAAGCCACCUCGGGGCGAGUAUCCCAGGGAGGGGAGCGGGGGAAACCGAGGCUCUUCUUUGGGGCGGACCAGAGUGGUUUCUCUUUUGACCCCAGGGCCCCCCGGCUCCCCGCAGUCACGCUGGAACGAGUCUUACCAGCCGGGAAGACCCACUUAUCUCCGGGGAGUCUGCCCCUCGGUCUUCAUGCUCCACACCGAGGGACAGCGGCGCGCUUGCCCGGCUCCCGGUGA